GGAAUCUCAAUCGACAGACGUAGUUAACAAAUGUUACAAGUAGCAAGGGAUCUUUUAUAUGCACCAUUCGACAGACGUGAUAGCACAUAGCAGGGACUUUGUUAUACCUGUCGUGGCGCACUGCCUGCAACGAGAAAUAUCCCAAUGCACUGGCUACAACGACAAAUCGCAAUGGUCGACCAACGUGGAUCGACCGCGCAUCAGACCAUUACCACUGACCUAUUUCCCGCAGCUCAUUGCUGAGUAACAUGUAAACAAACAACAUUGAUCGUAUCUACGCCCUGGUUUCGUAAUCUCAUCGACAAUACGUAGUGCUAAAAUUACGGGACAGAAUAUCGACUGAAGAUCGAUGUAAAAGAUAGCUACAAAUAUGACGGGUUUUAGUUUACAAGGAAGUGUUUGUGGAACAGGUAAGUAAUUUAAACACGCACGCACACA